rnacentral:tRNA from 1 species
CGGAAUGUAGCGCAGCCUGGUUAGCGCACUUGUCUGGGGGACAAGGGGCCGGAGGUUCGAAUCCUCUCAUUCCGACCA